rnacentral:rRNA from 1 species
CCUACGGGAGGCAGCAGUGGGGAAUAUUGGACAAUGGGCGAAAGCCUGAUCCAGCAAUGCCGCGUGAGUGAUGAAGGCCUUAGGGUCGUAAAGCUCUUUUACCAGGGAUGAUAAUGACAGUACCUGGAGAAUAAGCUCCGGCUAACUCCGUGCCAGCAGCCGCGGUAAUACGGAGGGAGCUAGCGUUGUUCGGAAUUACUGGGCGUAAAGAGUACGUAGGCGGUUAUUCAAGUCAGAGGUGAAAGCCCGGGGCUCAACCCCGGAACUGCCUUUGAAACUAGAUAACUAGAGUCUUGGAGAGGUUAGUGGAAUUCCGAGUGUAGAGGUGAAAUUCGUAGAUAUUCGGAAGAACACCAGUGGCGAAGGCGACUAACUGGACAAGUACUGACGCUGAGGUACGAAAGCGUGGGGAGCAAACAGGAUUAGAUACCCUGGUAGUCCACGCCGUAAACGAUGAUAACUAGUUGUUCGGUCACUUGGUGACUGAGUGACGCAGCUAACGCAUUAAGUUAUCCGCCUGGGGAGUACGGUCGCAAGNUUAAAACUUAAAUGAAUUGACGG